rnacentral:rRNA from 1 species
GACGUAGGGCGCGAGCGUUGUCCGGAUUUCUUGGGCGUAAAGAGCUCGUAGGCGGCUUGUCGCGUCGUUCGUGAAAACCCACAGCUCAACUGUGGGCUUGCGGUCGAUACGGGCAGGCUGGAGUUCGGUAGGGGAGACUGGAAUUCCUGGUGUAGCGGUGAAAUGCGCAGAUAUCAGGAGGAACACCGGUGGCGAAGGCGGGUCUCUGGGCCGAUACUGACGCUGAGGAGCGAAAGCGUGGGGAGCGAACAGG